rnacentral:rRNA from 1 species
GAUCCUGGCUCAGGACGAACGCUGGCGGCGUGCUUAACACAUGCAAGUCGAACGAGAAUCUGCGGAAAGAGGAUUCGUCCAAUUGAAGCAGAGGACAGUGGCGGACGGGUGAGUAACGCGUGAGGAACCUGCCUUUCAGAGGGGGACAACAGUUGGAAACGACUGCUAAUACCGCAUGACACAUUGGGGUCGCAUGGCCUUAAUGUCAAAGAUUUAUCGCUGAAGGAUGG